rnacentral:rRNA from 1 species
UACGUAGGAGACAAACGUUAUCCGGAGUUACUGGGCGUAAAGGGCGCGUAGGCGGUCAGCACAAGUCAGUUGUGAAAUCUCCGAGCUUAACUCGGAAAGGUCAACUGAUACUGUGCGACUAGAGUGCGGAAGGGGCAACUGGAAUUCUUGGUGUAGCGGUGAAAUGCGUAGAUAUCAAGAGGAACACCUGCGGCGAAGGCGGGUUGCUGGGCUGACACUGACGCUGAAGCGCGAAAGCCAGGGGAGCGAACGGG